rfam:Solanum tuberosum cultivar DM 1-3 516 R44 scf00529_16, whole genome shotgun sequence.
UGUGUGCAAGCUACGGACGAUGCUGGCAGGCUACGUCCGACGUCGAUUGAACGUUGUAUGCAGGCCACGGAUGAUGCAGGGGUCUAGUCCCGAACCCGUCGGUUGUCGGUGGAUUGCUCGAGCUGCUCCCGCGACCAGAGUAGGUCGUCGCGUGCCGGCCGAUGGAUGGACUGGGAACGGUUCCUUUGGGGGCCUUUCCUGGGAGUCGAACAACUAACUCAGAACUGGUACGGACAAGUGGAAUCCGACUGUUUAAUUAAAAAAAGCAUUACGAUGGUCCUAACGGAUGUUUACGCAAUGUGAUUUCUUCCCAGUGCUCUGAAUGUCAAAGUGAAGAAAUUCAACCAAGCACAGGUAAACGGCGGGAGUAACUAUGACUCUCUUAAGGUACCCAAAUGCCUCGUCAUCUAAUUAGUGACGCACAUGCAUGGAUUUACGAGAUUCCCACUGUCUCUAUUUAUUAUCCAGCGAAACCACAGCCAAGGGAACGGGUUUUUGG